AGCAGCCGCGGUAAUUCCAGCUCCAAUAGCGUAUAUUAAAGUUGUUGCAGUUAAAAAGCUCGUAGUUGAAUUUCGAGAUCAAAUUGUUGGUCGUGCCUUGGUACGCACUGGCAUUAUUGGUUUCUCCCUUCUGACGAACCAUGAUGUCAUUAACUUGGUGUCUUGGGGAAUCAGGACUGUUACUUUGAAAAAAUUAGAGUGUUUAAAGCAGGCUCACGCUUGAAUACAUUAGCAUGGAAUAAUGAAAUAGGACGUUUGAUUCUAUUUUGUUGGUUUCUAGGAUCGACGUAAUGAUUAAUAGGGAUAGUUGGGGGCAUUAGUAUUCAAUUGUCAGAGGUGAAAUUCUUGGAUUUAUUGAAGACUAACUACUGCGAAAGCAUUUGCCAAGGAUGUUUUCAUUAAUCAAGAACGAAAGUUAGGGGAUCGAAGACGAUCAGAUACCGUCGUAGUCUUAACCAUAAACUAUGCCGACUAGGGAUCGGAUGAUGUUAAUUUUUUAAUGACUCAUUCGGCGCCUUACG
rnacentral:rRNA from 1 species